CACGUAGGGGGCAAGCGUUGUCCGGAUUUAUUGGGCGUAAAGAGCUCGUAGGCGGUUCGAUAAGUCGGGUGUGAAACCUCCAGGCUCAACCUGGAGACGCCACCCGAUACUGUCGUGACUAGAGUCCAGUAGGGGAGUGUGGAAUUCCUGGUGUAGCGGUGAAAUGCGCAGAUAUCAGGAGUAACACCGGUGGCGAAGGCGGGUCUCUGGGCCGAUACUGACGCUGAGGAGCGAAAGCGUGGGGAGCGAACAGG
rnacentral:rRNA from 1 species